AGAGGUCAUGUGAGAAAGAUAGUCUUUUAUGCUAUUCUAUUUUUGUAUAGGUGCUUCACUUUAAGAAGUGCCAUAUACUUUUGUCAAGAAAAGGUAAAUAAACUUUCUAAAGGUAGUAUUUAAAAUAAUUAUUGUGAAUGUUUGGAUGUUUGUAUAGAAACUGUUUGACAAAAUAUUAACUUGAUCUGGUAGUAUAUUAUAUUAACUUGAUAAAUGUUAAGUUAGUUGAAAAAAAUUCUAAUCUCCCACUAUGCAAUUUAUAAUAUGUUUUCCCCUUCUAUUAUGCUCUUCUCGGAAAGAGUUUUACUUGGCUUUAAAAAAUGCUCAUGAUUAAAUAUACUCCUGUUUUAUGUAUGGCUGAUUUGUUUGAAUCAUAAAUUGAAAGAUUUUAUCGCAGUGUGCUAUGUAUAGCUUAAAUUUGGCAACAUUGUUAUACAAAAUAUAUUUGUACAGAGAGCAUGUUUAUGAAACUUAAUAAGCAUUUUUUGGCUUGUUGUGAAUUCUAUCAAUUAUGACUAGAUAGAUGUCAGAUGAAAUAAUUGAGAUAUUAUUAUUGCUGUUAAAAGUAUAAAUCUCAUUUCGUCUUUAAUAGAAUUGCAAAAAGUUUACUCUAGCAUAUGAUAACUUCUAUAAUUAUUUUCGACUAUAAUUUUCUGUGGCUAUAUUAGAAUGGUUCUGGCUUGCUUAUCUAGUCACCGGAAAUAUAACAAAGUUUAUACCCUACUGUUAUUCUUGUUUCAGAUGAUGUGUACAUAGUCAUGCAAUGCCAUGAAGUUUAAGUACUUGACAUUGCCUAACAAAUUAUCAAGAAAUUUGAGAUAGGACUUAUUUAUAGAAAUUCAAAUGAGCCUUGGUAAAUGUAAUUUUUUACCUGAAAUUUUAAGUGUUAAUAUUUGAUAAGCUAUUUGAGACUGACUUUUUUUUUUUUUUGCUGAAGUUUUAUUAUUAACCUCACUUCAAUUUCUAAUUCUUGAGACCUUGAUAUUAUUAACAUUAUGCUUCUUUAUACAUAAUGAUUAAUUGGAUGCAAAUACACUACUACAUUAUGCUUCUAAUUCUUGAGAAUAAUGUAUUUGACUCAACCCAAGGCUGAGAAGAAAGAGUAAGAUGAGCAUUUGGUUUUUCUCUUCUUUGCAUUAUUAUUUAAUGAUUUAAUUCAGAUUUGACUCACUUUCAUUAUAUUAUAACAUUGUAAAUGUGUGUAUGUGCUGAGACAGACUUCAAAAAAACUAUUUUGCAACAGUUUGCAAGAGCUAAAACUCUACUUGGAUAUUUAAGAGAACCAAGACAAUUAUAUAAGAGAACCAAGGCAACACGAAAUUCUUCUUCAAGUUGUUGGGUAUUAUUUUCUUUAUUGCUUGUAAGAAUUAUGUACAGUGAGGAUUUGAUGUAUUAUUUACAUCGAGAAUAAUGAAUUUUUAUUGAGAAUUAUAAUGAAUUUUCAUUAAGACU